rnacentral:rRNA from 1 species
GACGAACGCUAGCGGCAGGCCUAACACAUGCAAGUCGAGGGGCAUCGCGGUGCAGCAAUGCACUGGCGGCGACCGGCGUACGGGUGCGUAACGCGUAUGCAACCUGCCCCGCACCGGGGGAUAGCCCGCCGAAAGGCGGAUUAAUACCCCAUGGUCCCGGGGGCCCGCAUGGGCAUCCGGGUAAAGCCUUGGCGGUGCGGGAUGGGCAUGCGUGCCAUUAGCUGGCUGGUGGGGUAACGGCCCACCAGGGCAACGAUGGCUAGGGGGUCUGAGAGGAUGGUCCCCCACACUGGUACUGAGACACGGACCAGACUCCUACGGGAGGCAGCAGUGAGGAAUAUUGGUCAAUGGGCGGAAGCCUGAACCAGCCAUGCCGCGUGCGGGAUGAAGGCCCUACGGGUUGUAAACCGCUUUUCCCCGGGAAGAAUAACCCCGAUGAGCCGGGGAUGCCGGUACCGGGGAAUAAGGAUCGGCUAACUCCGUG